rnacentral:lncRNA from 1 species
GUAAUAUGUUUUUAAUUAUUUUUACGUACUUUAUUGAAUAUUAUCCUUGAUGAAUGUUUCAUUUUAAAUGCCUCUGAUAUUCUAGAUAGCCAAAAGGUGGAACUAACAGUCGGAGACCAUGGUGGUGAUCAAGAUGUUGCUGGAACCACCUAGGUAAUUUUUCCAUGUUGCCUUUAAUUCUCAUGUACUAGAUUAACUUUUGAAGGAUGGCUACAUGUAUUAAUCUGUAAACUGGACUGUUCUCAGAGUUCUGGAGCAGUCAACUGUCAGCAUCAGAAUGAUCCAUGGCUUCUUUCAACAUAUAUGAAGUUUCAGGGAAGUGUAGCUUCAGAUAAUCAUCAUUGAAGAUUUUGCUAUCCUAGUAGAUAAUCUUGAAUCAUUUUGAAUGUUCAAGAUAAUGCCCAUGUACGAUCCAGGUAGUAGUUAUGAUUAAAUUACACUUCAUAUAAUCAUCGUGUUGCUUCCCGCAUUGUCGCCAACCUGGUCGUAGUUAUGAUUAAAUUACACUUUCAGGGUGAUAAUGCCCAUGUACGAUCCUGGUUGUAGCUUCAGAUAAGCAUGAUUCAAAAAGUGGAUAAUAGUCGUACAUGUUGUAUACAUUUAAAAAGUGGGAACCCACUUGAUCCCACUUAACCCACUUAAAUUUUAGUCGAUUGUUGGCUAUAACCCACCAAAACGUGUUGGAAUUAAGUGGGAUGUGGUGGGACUCACGCUAUUAGUCCCACCUGCAGCCUGACCCCACACGCCAGCUUUGUAAUCUGUCCAGAUUUGUCCUAAUCACAUUUUAUGUU